rnacentral:rRNA from 1 species
UACGGGGGGGCAAGCGUUGUUCGGAAUUACUGGGCGUAAAGGGCUCGUAGGCGGCCAACUAAGUCAGACGUGAAAUCCCUCGGCUUAACCGGGGAACUGCAUCUGAUACUGGAUGGCUUGAGUUCGGGAGAGGGAUGCGGAAUUCCAGGUGUAGCGGUGAAAUGCGUAGAUAUCUGGAGGAACACCGGUGGCGAAGGCGGCAUCCUGGACCGACACUG